GAUUGGACAGAUAUUAGAAUAAUUACAUUAUCAAAUGAUAGACAGGACCACUGAAGAUAUAUUAAAGUUCAUUUUACUUGAGAACCCAACAAGGAGGCAGUCUCUGCACUACAGAAUAGUACAGACAGUGACCUAAUGAA